UACGAAGGGGGCUAGCGUUGCUCGGAAUCACUGGGCGUAAAGCGCACGUAGGCGGCUUUUUAAGUCAGGGGUGAAAUCCUGGAGCUCAACUCCAGAACUGCCUUUGAUACUGAGAAGCUUGAGUCCGGGAGAGGUGAGUGGAACUGCGAGUGUAGAGGUGAAAUUCGUAGAUAUUCGCAAGAACACCAGUGGCGAAGGCGGCUCACUGGCCCGGUACUGACGCUGAGGAGCGAAAGCGUGGGGAGCGAACAGG
rnacentral:rRNA from 1 species